AGAUCUAUGGUGGCUGCUUAAUUUCUUUUGCUUUGCCCUAAAUUUUUUGAAACGGCUCAUAUGUAAAAAUUUAAACAUGAAAUGUAAGAGGAACUAUUAUUGUCCUUGUGGCCGUGGUUUUUCUCCAAUAUAGGAGCUUUCUACGUAAAUAUUCUUACAAUACAAAGUAAAUAUGUUAGCAAUGCAGUUUUUAAACAUGUGAAGGUAGAAAUGGAAAAUUUUGAUGGAAGAAUCAAUUUUAGCUUGUAGCAAAUUCAAGUCAAGAAUAUAUUGAUUUAAUUUAGUUACACAAGUUAAGCAAAGGCAACAUCAACCUGGUUCCACUAGUGAAAAAUUUUAAAGGUGUAUAAACAAUCAAGACCCUGUAAAGAAGAUUGUUAGAGUGGAACAUGUGCGGCAAGUAGCUCAAAAUCAGAAGAUGGAGAUACUGAUAAUGUCAGCUAGUGAUUUGUCUCGUUUUUCCAUGAGAGACUAGUUUAUCCUCUUUGGUGGCCAUGGAAUAGGAUGAGUUACUACUAACAGACACAAAGUAAAGUUUGGCAUUUAUGCAAGAUGUGUUGUAGAAUUUUACAUGUUAAUGGAUGGGGACUUUCAAGGAAGCCAAAUAAAAAAGUGGAUAUUGUCAACAAGAUGAUCGACAUAUGUCAAAUAUUUAUAAUUUGGUUAAGGUAGAGUAUGUUGAUUCUCGGUAUAGAAAAUUAUAACUGCAUGGAUAGAAAAUGAGGUUUUACCUAUGGUGGAGUGAUUUUAAUAAGUCCUAUGUGAGUGUAGUUUUGGUGGAGCAAAAAAGACAGAGACAACAUGAUUUUGUGUGUACAUGGUAAAUAAUUUUUUUUUUUUUGCCCAAUUGAAAAACUCGUCAAAAUGGAGAUUGUUAGAAAAUAUGUCUCUUUGUUUAAUAACGAUAUCUUAUGAUAUUUUCUUUUUUAGAAGUAUUCCUAUUUAAGAAGUAAGUAAUUUUUCCACCAAGACUUAUUCACGAAGAGAUAUAACUUUUAUAAGGAAAUGAAUACUUUUUCCACAAGCCACUCGGCCAGGUUGUGAGGGCAGAAGUAUGAGCCCCCUAUAAAGCCUUUGUGGGGGUUAAAAUUCCUUCCCAAUUAUGAAAAACAAUUGAGUGAAGGCAAUGUUUUUCCUCUCGAAAUGAGAGUGAAGUAGACGUCUCUCGAAUAUUAGAAAAAGUUAAAAUCUAGACUCUAAUCUUAGGAAUUGUCUUAUUAUUGUAAAUAUGUCAGCAAUAGUCUCAUAUAAUAUGAGUUGUAUAUUGACAUUAGCCCUAUGUAAUUAAAAAGAAAAGAAAACUAUUCUUACAAGAAAUAAUCAUUAUGUAUAGAGAGGUUGGGUUCACUCAUCUGUAUAACACAACAAUCAAUUUCUCUAUAAGUAUGUUAGCCUAAAGGGCUACAUAAUGUAAUUUUGAUGACAACAAACAUGUGUUUUAAGUGAUUUAAUAAAUAUUAUAUUUCACAUUUUCACUAGUUUUUGAAGGAUAAUAUUUAUUCAAGUGAAUCAAGUUCAAAACACUUAACGGACAACGACGAAAUUAAGAAUAAAGUUUAGAGCUCAACGGACAAUUUAUUACGAUAAAUUCUUAUAAAACCGAUAUGAUUUAAUCGAUGCAUGAUUUAGCAUUUGAGAAGCUCAAUAGUUUAUUUAAAUAAUUACUAUUCAUAAACUAAAAGGUUUUAUAUUUAUAAGAUAAAGUAUUCUGUGGAUUUGAGUAAUUUGGACUAA
rnacentral:lncRNA from 1 species